rnacentral:rRNA from 1 species
GACAUUACCGAGUGAGGGCCCUCUGGGUCCAACCUCCCACCCGUGUUUAUUUUACCUUGUUGCUUCGGCGGGCCCGCCUUAACUGGCCGCCGGGGGGCUUACGCCCCCGGGCCCGCGCCCGCCGAAGACACCCUCGAACUCUGUCUGAAGAUUGUAGUCUGAGUGAAAAUAUAAAUUAUUUAAAACUUUCAACAACGGAUCUCUUGGUUCCGGCAUCGAUGAAGAACGCAGCGAAAUGCGAUACGUAAUGUGAAUUGCAAAUUCAGUGAAUCAUCGAGUCUUUGAACGCACAUUGCGCCCCCUGGUAUUCCGGGGGGCAUGCCUGUCCGAGCGUCAUUGCUGCCCUCAAGCACGGCUUGUGUGUUGGGCCCCGUCCUCCGAUCCCGGGGGACGGGCCCGAAAGGCAGCGGCGGCACCGCGUCCGGUCCUCGAGCGUAUGGGGCUUUGUCACCCGCUCUGUAGGCCCGGCCGGCGCUUGCCGAUCAACCCAAAUUUUUAUCCAGGUUGACCUCGGAUCAGGUAGGGAUACCCGCUGAACUUAAGC